GUCUACAGCCAUACCACCUUGAACUCACCCACUUGCAUCUGAUCUUGGAAGCUAAGCAGGGUCAGGCGUGGCUAGUACUUGGAUGGGAGACUGCCCGGAAAUAUCAGGUGCUGGAGGCU
rnacentral:rRNA from 1 species